UGGAAUGUUCCUACUGGGCUUCUCUCACAUUUGCAGAAUACAGAGUCCCCAUCUUUCUUUGGACUUACUUCAAAAUACCACCACAUUUGGCCAGAUGCAGGCAUUGAAAUGUUUAGAUGCCGUACUGAGGGACGUGGUUUAGUGGGAAAUACUGGUGAUAGGUGGACGGUUGGAACGGGUGAUCUUGGAGGUCUUUUCCAACCUUGGUGAUUCUAUCACUCUAUGAUUUUAAUAUUUUGGGGUCUUUUUUUUUAGAUUCUCUUUCCUAACCUGAUCUCAUUUCUGUUUCAAAUACUGCUGCUCAUCUUUGGAAAUCCAGAUUCUGUUACGCUUUUGAAUGCUUGUCUUUCUGCAGACAGACAAAAUGGCUUUGGCUUUUCCAAGCAACGUCUGCUUUCUCUAAGAAAUGUCACUGUCUAUUUUUAAAGGCCUCCCUGUUUCCUUCACUGAUUUGUUAUGUAUUUACAACACAAACUCUUUGCUUAUAUAUUGUAGCUUUAUGUUUCCUACCAUCUGGCCUAGUAGUCAUUCUCCACUCAUGCCACAUUUCUACUCCUCUUCUGUACCUGAGUGAUAUGUUUGGAUUGAAAAACUGCCAUAAAAUCUGUCCGUUGUGGAAAAACAAACAGAAGCAGUGAAAGAGGAAAAGCCUGAGAAGGCUUUCUUGUUUUUUUCUUUUCUCUUUUUUCUUUUUUAAAGUAAAUCAUCGCAUGCACUUUAUUACAAGUUGAACUUGAUUUCUUUCUGAUAACGACAGAAGAGCAUUAGAUAUUCAAUCAUGCACCUCUCAAUAUAAAUAUGUUUUUAACAGAGGCCUCGUUAUGUCAUCCUGCUGCCAGCUCCUGCACUAAAACACCCUGCCAUCCUUGAGGACUUUUCAUUUGCCACCCAACUGCCACCCUGUGCCUCUACAGGACAGUGUUCUUAGGAAAAAAAAAAAAGAGUCAUUAACUCUUUACAGUACGUAACCACUGAGAAUAUGAGCAUGCAGACACGGGAGAGAGAAUGAAACCCCAUAGUGACUUAGGGAAAUUCUAAGGUACGUAGCGAUAGCUAUUGUUGAAAGAGAUUUUGCUUCAUACCAUUAUGCAAAAUAGUACUGGAAUUGUCAUUUUAAGACCAUGGGAAUUAAGGAGAUUCUAAUUAAAGCGAUGUUUUGAUCUCCCAGUUUCUUGUGAUCAAACCAAUGGAAGGACUCCCAUAGCAAUAAGCAGGUUCAUUUUAAUAUCUGCAGUAUGAAACCAGGAAGCCUAAGACCAAACUCAGUAUGUUAGACUAUCCUCUAGAGCUUUUAUCAAGCUGUAAUACUUAACUUGUACUAUAAAAACACCCCAAACACUGUGUGGCACAACAACACAGGGUGUCAAAAAUUUACAUGACCUUGCUGCAGACUGAGUCAUGCCAGCACUCAGACAGAAGGUUCAAUUUAUUGCUCAGCUGUUGCUUGCUGCUCACCUGUUAACACUUUGCUGUAGCAAAACCUACAGCUGCAGUGUAUCACCAUUAGCCCCUAGACGGAGACUCUCCCACUUCUCAUUGGAUGUGGCUGAUUGCCUCAUUAGAAGGGCUGUGCCUGCAGACAGUAUAAAAAGGCAGGUCAAGGCUGGGUAGGUGCUGUGUGGGGUCCUGGGGGUGUGGAUGUCCUGUUGAUAAUGGUUGUGCCUCUGUGUAAUUGCUGUCUUUCCCUUUAUGAGCAUCAGGUAUGUUAUGAUAGAUGUGGUGUACGUGUGGGUCACUGUCAAACUUAGCAGGACUAUUUUGUCUCCUUUAGAUAUUAUUUCUAGCCAUUCUGACUGGGGCCAGGCUCUUUGCAGUGGAGAGCAGUGACAAGGUAAGUGGUGACAGGCAAAAGCUCAAAGGUAGGAAGCUGUAUAUGAACUUCUGCAAGGACUUGUUUCCUAGGAGGACAAUAGACCACUGGAACAGGCUGCUCAAAAAGGUCAUGGAGUUUUUUUCUCAAGAGCUAUUCAAAACAAGCCUGGAUGUUUUUCCUGGGUGAUCUGCCGCAGGGAUCCUGCUUUAGAAGAGCUAGAGAAACCCCUGAAGUUCUUUCCUUCCUGGGAGAUACCUGAAGAAGAGCAUGGCCAUCGUCUAUCAGUAUUCCUGGUCGACUGGAGACUUGCCAACGUGAUUCCUAUCCACAAGAAGAGUGGUAAGGAGGAUCUGGGGAACUACAGGCCUGUCAGUCUGACCUCGGUGCCAGGGAAGGUUAUGGAGUAGAUUGUCUUGAGAAAGCUCACACGGCAUGUGUGACACAACCAGGGGAUCAGGCCUAGCUAGCAUGGGUUUGUGAAGGGCGGGUCUUGCUUGACCAACCUAAUCUCCUUCUACAAUCUAAUGACCCAUCUGGUGGAUGAGGGGAAGGCUGUUGAUGUGAUCUACCUUGACUUCAGCGAAGCUUUCAACGCUGUCUCCCAUGGUACUCUCCUGGAGAAGUUGGCAGCCCGUGGCUUGGACACUUAAACUCUUUGCUGGGUAAGGAGCUGGCUGGAGGGCUGGGCCCAGAGAGUGGCGAAUGGAGUUAAAUCCAGCUGGUGACCAGUCAUGGGUGGUGUUCUAAUGAUUAACUAUUUUAUUAUCUAUGGCUCCAGUUACUGCGAAGAAGACAUGUGAUUGCUAAUUGUGAUUUCUCAGAAUUGUUUAUCCUCAUAGCAGAACACAGCCCACAAAGCCAGUUGUUGUAAGUGCUAACAGAUUAAUUCUGUAUUUCAGGUUUCUUUUUGCAGGUAGGAGCCAUAACAAAAACCUUACCUGACAUCUGGGCAAAUGCAGAUAAGGAAGAAUGAGGUAUGGUUUGAGGGAUGCACUGAUCUUGAGCUUGGAAGAAGUGACACUUAAACUCUGACCAGUUCUCUUGGACCAGUUACCUUUCCAACACUCUAGCCCAAGGGAUAUCUUCAGGUUGUUAAUGGCUCAGAAGUGAAGGACAUAUCCAACAGUGACAAUCGCUCAAAUGGGUGUUCCAUGGGGAUGACAAUGCAGUGGUCCAAUUCCAGUACUCCAAAGGGUUUUUCAGAGCAGGUCAGUUCUUGGAAUUAUGUAGGAAUCAAAUCAUAACGUUGUUCAAAUCUGUCUGCUCAUGAGAUUGAUACCUUUGCUCAAUUGCUUUCAGGGUGAAGUCUACUGCAUCAGUCUCAUCAGUCACGUAACGGAUCUGCAGGGACUGGAGAGGGGACAGGAUUAGUAUGAUGGCCAUGUGGACGGUUCAGAUGAGUACAACUUCUUGGACAUUGGUGUUCGCUUUAAGUCUUGCUCUCAUGUUCAUAGAAUAAAGUAUUAAGCAGCAGGUGACUAGUGCUACUAUCAGAGCAUAGUUCUGAAACUUCAGGAGUUGGUCUGUAAAAGGGGAUCAACUGUCUUAAUACUAACAUCUCAUGUGGCCCAUCACUCCCUGUGACUUCACCUUGACUAGGAUGUGUAGCUGGUAUACUAAUGCCUUAAAGAAGAAUUAAGUAGUUUCUUGACAAUCCAAAGAGGAAAAAAUACCCAGCCUUGCUUUCCACUUAAGAUGUUGAUUGAGUAAUUUGAAAACAGCUUUCCAGAUUGCUUGCGUGUAUUGGUGAUGGUGCUUGGUCACAAAAAAUAGAUGAAAAGCAAAUGCUAAAAUAGAAUAUGUAAAAAGGCAAUCAAAUGGAACUGAAACGUAAUGGAACUCUCUUGUUCUAGACUAGAAGACGUCUUAGAAGCCCUCAAUGAAGGCUUGGACAUGAGUGAUGGCGUCAAUUUGUGGCAGUCUGUACAACUGAAGAAUGAUUUGGACAGAUGAAAGAGCAGAAAAGGAACCACCAUGGUUAAAAGAAAUAUGAGGAAAAUCCUGAACUUGAUAAGAGCGGCAGCCACGGGGAGUGAACGAGAGCGAUGCACAGAUGAAGCACAAACAAGCUAAGACCUGAACAAUAGCAUGAUACUUAAGUAGUGAAUGUAAAUAAGCAACUAAUGCUAUAAUGGUAAUGUCUCAGUGCUGGGGGGGGGUAGAAGGUGAACUGUCUUGCCAACAGCAUGAUGCUGUCUUGCCCAGGGACAGGACAGCAGAGGAGCAGUCUGAUAAAGAGGAGCCUAACAUAAAAGGGUGUACAAAUGAGAGGUAGAAGUGAAUUGCUCUGGGAGAAAAAAUAGUGAACAUGGGAAUGAACAGAUAAUUGAUAAAUAUGGGAGGAGAGAAAAAGCUGGAGAAAAGGGAAGCGGGGAGUGGAGCGGUGUCUGCCAGUAGUGGUAACAGGAUGCUUUCUUCACCAGGUAUGAUGUGCAGCAAGAAGUUGAAAAUAAACAGUUCCUGAGAAGGUAUAGCUCAUGAUGAUGAAGACAAAGAAGAAAGGGCGGAAGAAAAAAUGGAUUAAACAGAGUUGUAGUAAAAUGGUAUAUACUGAAUGAAAUGGGGAAAUAAAGAAAAGGGUUGCCAUGGGGUGAUUACCAGGUGGAAGAAUACAAAACCGGAUGAAGAACAGAAGAUGAAUGUCAAAGGCUCCUCAGCCAUCAUCCCCUGGCUUUCUGGGAAGCAGCACAGCCACAUCCUGGCACUGACCUUAAUUCAGCAGCAAUCCAAGGUUCCAGAUGGAAAACUGCAGCUCCGGAAGGUUUGUGGCUCACUCCUGACAGUAGAUAGGAGGUAUCUCUUGAGAUAGAGAGGAGCAAAAACACCCUGCUGGAUCUGGCCACGCUUGCUU